AGGAGGCGGGGCGGGGCGGGCCGGGCCGCGGCGGCUGCCCCCUGCCGGGCCGCGCUGACAACAGCGCCCCCCGCUGCCGCCCGCCGACACCGGCGCCGCCGGGGGGGCCGAGCGGAGGGCGCCGACCCGGAAAGGCCCGGCGGGCGCAGGGGAGGCCGGGACGGCCAUGAGGGCCGCGCUGGUGGGGUACAGCAGCUCGGAGGAGGAGGACGAGGGGGAGGAAGGAGGGUGCCGGGGCGACGGCGCGCAGGAGCCUCCUCGGGCCAGCCCCGGGCGCCCCCGCCUGCCCGUCCCCGCCGGCCUGCCGGGCGAUCCGGAUCCGGAGGAGGCCGUUAGCGACGACAGCUCCCGUCACGGCGGCCGCAUCCGCGGUUUCCCCCACGAGCGGGGCAGCUGGGCCACCCACGUCUACCUGCCGUAUACAGUGCAGGAGGAAUUCCUGGAGCUGCUGGAGCUGCUGCUGUCCCGCGCCCGCACCUACGUCUCCUCGCUGGCUGCCAUGGAGCAGUUUCACCUCAGCCUCUCGCAGUGCGUGGUGCUGCGGUACCACUGGAUCGACCCCUUUGUCCGCUGCCUCAGGGAGCGUCUGGCCACCUUCCACAGGUUCUUCUGUGUGGCUGACCAGGUGAAGGUUUACACCAACCAGAACAAAACCAGGACCUUUAUUGGCUUGGAGGUCUCCACUGGGCAUUUCCAGCUGCUGGAGCUGGUCUCAGAGGUGGACAGAGUUCUGGAGGAAUUUGACCUUCCCACCUUCUACAAGGAGACUAAGGAUGGUAACUAUCUGGUGGUCUCCUGAGAAUCGGGUUUCUGGGGCGAAGGGCCAGACUGCACAUCACGGUCACUGCCCAAUUGUGCAUGGGAGCAGAGUUGUGCUGGGACAGAACGGGCUUAGGGACCCGUCGUUCCACAUCAGCUUGGCCUGGUGUGUUGGGGACAUGUCUGGCAGGCUGGAAGGGCAGUGUCUGCGGGAGCUCCAGGACAUCGUGGAUGGAUUUGAGGACUCGGCACUCCUGCUGCGUGUCCAAUGGGAGCAAAUUUGCUGCAAGUCGGGGAACAAGUACUUCUCCUUCCCCUUGAGGUAGGGGCCGGUGGGGCUGUGCACUUCAGAGCCUUGAAGACCCUGAUGUUCAACCAAGGACCAUUCUCCAGCACAGCUCUGAGCGAUGUGGGCUGUCACGCACCUUCCACGCUCUUCUUGCCUGCUCAGCAUCUCUGACGUGUUUGUGGCCUCAAGUUGGGCUACUUCCAAGUUUCAGAUUCUGGCUGAAAAAAUGUGUGUCUGUAGCAGAUUUCAUCCUUGCUGCUGUAUGUGCUGCAGUCAGCACUGGUGGUUCCAGCCAUCCCACAGUUGCUGUUUUUGCUGAUUUAAAAAGAAAAAAAGACAAAAAACCUCUAUAAAAGACAUAGAUGCCUUAUGGGAAGGAGGAAGAAGGUAGCGUGGGAAGCUGUUACUGAAGGGAAAGUGUCUCACACAGCUGGAAGUGGCACAGCCUGUUUGUCAGGAGGCUUUGAGCACGCUUUGAGUAGCAAGAGGCAAGGACAUGGAGCUGGACUGUCAUGCCAGAGCAUCUCCCUGCUGUGAGCCAGGCCAAGUUCCUGGGUCAUGUCCUGUGUCCCUCUCAUGCUGCUGCUGCCUCUAUAGGGAAAUACCAGCAUCUGAUCCUUUUGCCAAGCCACGAAAGAUGAAAUCUGGAGGCAAGAAGUUGGAAACCCCUUGUGUUUCUGUCCUCAAGGAUGGGUGUAAAAGAAGAGCUUUGGUUUAAGAUUGUGCAUACCGUAAGCCCAGGACUUUUUUGGUGGGCUGCUUCUCCUGAGAAGCUUGCUGCCGUGCAGGGGACAGCCCAAGAGAGGGCAGUGUCAGCUUUGGCCUGAGCUGGGAAGGCCGUACUCACUGCUGAGUCAAGAGGUGGCAGCUCCUGCUCAGGCUCCAGGUUUUUCCCCAUGGGAACAGAAAUCCGGUGCUGUGAUAGCUCUGGGGAUGGCAGGCUGGACCUUGUCCCUUGGGAGGAGCUCUUUUUUUAAUCCUUUUGUUCCUGCGGGGAGGUCAGCUGCAGCCUCUCGGGUGUCUGGAAUAGGAUGCCGAUGUGCUGUCCUGAAUCUUUUAUUCCACGUCUGUCUGAUGAAAGACUCCAGGACUUCUGAGCAGUAAAAGUCUGUCUCCUCAUGUCAUAAAAA